GGUCCAAUGGUGUAGAGGUUAACAUGCACAAUAGCUUGUAUAAUUGAUACAUUGCAUGCGUGCGCGCCAGGUUCAAGUCCUGGUCAGACCA